AAGAAGAGACCAUGCUUUCAUCUUAUGACUCCAAAUAAAUUAAAAAAACAGGCUAACUGUCUAUUUAGUCCGGUAAACUACAUAUUCUGGAAUGAAGAUUUCCUUGAAAAGCUUUACUAGGUUAUUGUCCUGAACUCUGAGAAUCAAUUCAGUGAUUCACAAAUUUAAAUGCACGACAACUGUUUCGUAAGUUCCAGGGGGAAGAAUGGCAAGGUUAGUUCUUGCAAGUAGUUGCAUAAAACAUUUGGAAUUUCUGGUUUUGCUGUGCUUUUAUAAAUUAAUUUUUACUGACCCUUCAGAAACUCAAUUGAUUAAAAGGGCACAAAAGAGUUAAAAUCAAAGGAAAUAGGGGGCAGAAACAAUACCAUGACUCGGAUACGGUGGCGAUCUUCUUCACUGAGGACAAACUGCAGCUUCAUAUGCACAUGCCCACCUCCUUCAAAGUGAAAUAUGUCAUCCCAAAUGCCUUUCUCAAUCACCAACCUGGU
rnacentral:misc_RNA from 1 species